UCACAGGGCACUGCCCCACAGCCCUGAUGCCGCUGCUGCUCCAUCAGCAUCGACUUUGGGGUUUUCUUGCGCCCCAGAGCUUGAAUUAGUCUGAAAAUUGGCCAGAUUUCUGUUGAUCUCCGGAGGAAGAGUAAAAUCUGUUGUUGCAGUAAAGCCUCAUUAUAGACGUGGUGUGAUGCUUCAUGAGGGAUCAGUUUGGGAACAUCUGUCAUCGCUCCGUCACACAAGGGCUGCUGUCAGAGGCCAACAGGCGGGAAAAUGUUCCUUCCUCAGCUGCUGUGCCCCCAGGAAACCUUCCCUGACUUUAUGUUCAGGUGUUGGAGGACACGGAGCUGUUGGUACCUGAGAUCCUGAGUGCAGCCCAAGUGAGGGUGGUACAGAGGUGCUGCUGCUUUAGGUAACUCCUGCUCUGAACCCUGAAUGCAGCAGCAAAAUUUGGGUAACAAUGCAACCCCCGCAGAGAGGAGAGAGCUGAAGAGGAGAAGAGUUCUGGGGAGUUCAGCUGUCCUGGGUAGGAUCAGAGUCCCAGAACAGGAACAGAUAAAGGUACCAGGGUGUGACAGGAGGAUGAGGAGCAGCGGGAGGCAGAGCUGAGCAUCCGCGCCCGCAUCCCCGGUGCCGCCGAGGCGGGAGCGAGAGGAUGGAGCCAGCCCUGCCAGCCACGUGGGGAGAAGCCAAAGGGCAGAGCUGUCAUGUCAGGUAGGGAAACCUUCAGCCUGGUCAAAAACCCGUUUCAUUCCUGAAGAUGAGACAGGUUCGAACUGAGUUUGAAUGCCUCGUGCUUCCCUCGGGGCCGUGUUUUUUGGGAGAAAGGUUUCGUUCCGCCGCUUUCCGCUCACGCGGCCUUUACGUGCCUAGAAGGACUCAGCUGCCACAGCCUGACAGGCGCUGAAAAGCUCUUGUUAAGGUCACUGGUAUCAGAGAAGUGUCUCUCCUACGACAUCCCAGUGAACCGGGGCUGCUGGCACUGGGAGACAGGGACUGAUGUCGCAGACCGGAGCGUGACCCGCUGUCCUGGCACAGCCAGGAAAACUCUGCUCCAGCUAAGUGCAAAAAAAAAAAAAACCCAAAAAACCCCAGCUCUAAACAUUCCUGACCUUUAAAUUCAGGCUGCAGCGAACAGAUCUGCUGCUAACCAAAAAUCCGGGCUUGCUUUCAUGUGCCUGAGCGUUCAGGGAAUAGAUGUAGCUUAACAUGCAAAUGCUGGGCUUCCUGCAGCACGCCGCUGCUUUUCAAGCUCUCUCAUUUCAUGCUGUUACCUCCAUCCCUGCUGUGUCUGUGAAA